rnacentral:rRNA from 1 species
UUUGGUUAUAGAUGGAAAGUGGGCAUGGGGACUCAAAUCAGAUUCUGGGAAGAUACCUGGUUUGGUACUUCACCAUUGGCGGUUCAAUUUUGGUCGGUUUAUACGGUUUGUAAUGAGCAGUCUAAAAGCAUUAGAGAAGUGUGGGAUGGGGAAAACCUC